rnacentral:rRNA from 1 species
CCUACGGGAGGCAGCAGUAGGGAAUCUUCCACAAUGGGCGAAAGCCUGAUGGAGCAACGCCGCGUGAGUGAAGAAGGAUUUCGGUUCGUAAAACUCUGUUGUAAGGGAAGAACAAGUACAGUAGUAACUGGCUGUACCUUGACGGUACCUUAUUAGAAAGCCACGGCUAACUACGUGCCAGCAGCCGCGGUAAUACGUAGGUGGCAAGCGUUGUCCGGAAUUAUUGGGCGUAAAGCGCGCGCAGGUGGUUUCUUAAGUCUGAUGUGAAAGCCCACGGCUCAACCGUGGAGGGUCAUUGGAAACUGGGAGACUUGAGUGCAGAAGAGGAUAGUGGAAUUCCAAGUGUAGCGGUGAAAUGCGUAGAGAUUUGGAGGAACACCAGUGGCGAAGGCGACUAUCUGGUCUGUAACUGACACUGAGGCGCGAAAGCGUGGGGAGCAAACAGGAUUAGAUACCCUGGUAGUCCACGCCGUAAACGAUGAGUGCUAAGUGUUAGGGGGUUUCCGCCCCUUAGCGCUGCAGCUAACGCAUUAAGCACUCCGCCUGGGGAGUACGGUCGCAAGACUGAAACUCAAAGGAAUUGACGG